rnacentral:lncRNA from 1 species
CCCAGUCUCUUUGCUGAAUCUCCUGACGGUAUUCACCCCUUUGAAAAUGCUCUGUGAGCCAGAGCUGAAGUAGCAAAUUGCAGCCUUCGAAGUGUUUGCCUCCUUGUUGACACUUCUCCAAGGCUCGGUAUAUUUUUGCAAUGAUCAUGUGAACAAUAUUAAAUGGUUGCCCACCAAUUCCUUCCUUUAGAGUAUUAGUUACCAUAGCCAGCCUAGAGUGGAUCCUUGCUUUCUUCAUUGGAAACACUAUCAUCCCCAGGAAACAAAACAUAAAG